UACGUAGGGUGCAAGCGUUAAUCGGAAUUACUGGGCGUAAAGCGUGCGCAGGCGGUUAUGUAAGACAGGUGUGAAAUCCCCGGGCUUAACCUGGGAACUGCAUUUGUGACUGCAUAGCUAGAGUACGGUAGAGGGGGAUGGGAAUUCCGCGUGUAGCAGUGAAAUGCGUAGAUAUGCGGAGGAACACCGAUGGCGAAGGCAAUCCCCUGGACCUGUACUGACGCUCAUGCACGAAAGCGUGGGGAGCAA
rnacentral:rRNA from 1 species